AUUUUUGAAGAACCCGAAUAACAUAAAUUUUCUGAAAGUUGAAGUGAAGAGGAGUGUUUGGUUUUGAAGGAACAAAGCAGUAGCUGCGUUCGGAUAAAUGGAUUUCAUGUUUGCCUUUCAUACUUAGGGAACUAUAAGGAUGGAGAAGUUUCUUAGUACUCAAUUUCCUUCCACUUUUAUCAUGUACUAAUCAAAAUGUGUUUCUUAUUUAAUCUUAGGAACCAAAUUUUUUAGACGUUAUGGUCACACAACAACAAGGCGUGAGAAUUCAAGUCUUACGCCAUCCAUUAACAGAAUAUUUCUAUGUCUUAGCCGCGAAAACGUAUCAUGCCUGCAGUUAAGCAUACUGUUGGCAAAUAAGUGUUUUUCAUUACCAUUUCCAGUCAUUUUGUUUCGUUUUAGACUAGCUUAUGUUUGCGUACUCACGUAAGUCUGGCCUUGUCAAAACAUACUUGUUUGAGGCGUUAUUGUUAUUUGUCGCCUUUUGAUUUUUUUAGCAAGGAAACAUCAACUCGAAGUAGAACAAUUGACGAUGAGGCAAUACAAAAUGCAUCAUUAGCUUGUCACCGUUUCUAUUCCAGUCACUAAGAAGAAUGUUAUCUAUCAAUCUAUGUGUUACUAGAUAACAUUUGUAUUCUGGCAUGAAGUUCGGAAUUUUGUAAAUUUCUGUUUUACCUUCAGGGCUUUUAAUGAAGGCUUCUUAUUCAAGCACUUCUUAUGAUGCUACAAAAUCAGUCAGCAAGAAGAAUUUGUUAUUGGACAUUUUCUCUUAUCAGAUAAAUGGUACAAACCAUACAAGUUUGUAUUUUAUAGAUAAAUGGGUACUUGAUGCCUCCGACGAUGAAUAUGGAGGAGUACUCGUCAACCCAGAAAGACUACCAUCUGAUCCCGACAAAUUUACCUUUGUUCUUCGUGCAUCUCUCUCUCAUUGGAAAGUGACGGGGAAGAAGGGAGUUUGGCUUAAGCUACCACAGGAAAAAUGUGAUCUAGUUCCUGUUGCAAUAAAGGAAGGAUUUCAAUACCAUCAUGCAGAAAGAGGAUAUGUCAUGAUGACUUAUUGGAUUCCGGAGGAACCCUGUCUGCUUCCUUCUAAUGCAUCAUCAAGUUGGAGUUGGGGUUUUUGUGAUCAACGACGAAAAUGAGGUGCUAGUCGUGCAAGAGAAACAUUUUGCACCAGCUCUUUCAGGUCUAUGGAAAAUACCAACUGGUUUCAUUCAUGAGUCCGAGGAAAUCUUUACAGGAGUUGUGAGAGAAGUGAAGGAGGAAACUGGGAUUGAUACUGAAUUUGUGGAGGUUAUGGCUUUCAGGCAUGCUCACAAUGUGGCCUUUGAAAAGUCAGAUUUGUUCUUCGUCUGCCUGUUAAGACCCCUGUCAAAACAAAUCAUGGUUGAUGAUCUUGAAAUUCAGGCUGCUAAGUGGAUGCCUCUAGUUGAGUUUGUGGAACAACCCUUAAUCCAAGGAGAUGACAUGUUCAAGAAAAUAAUCGACAUUUUCAUCGCUAGACUAGGAAAGUGGUACUGCGGAUUGUCUGUCCAUCAACUGGUUUCCAAAUUUGAUGACAAACUUUCAACACUAUACUUCAACACAGUUGAUGAUCCAGAUUUGAACUGUCAAGCCAGUUAGCAUCACAAUCAGUCUAUGCCAUCAAAUGUAACCUAGAGGGUAUGGACUCUGUAAAUGUAAGAUUUAAUUUCCAAAAAGCUUUUCAU